UACGAAGGGGGCUAGCGUUGUUCGGAAUUACUGGGCGUAAAGGGCGCGUAGGCGGUGUGUCAAGUCAGGCGUGAAAGCCCCGGGCUCAACCUGGGAACCGCGCUUGAGACUGGCACGCUCGAGUUCGGGAGAGGAUGGUGGAAUUCCCAGCGUAGAGGUGAAAUUCGUAGAUAUUGGGAAGAACACCGAUGGCGAAGGCAGCCAUCUGGACCGACACUGACGCUGAGGCGCGAAAGCGUGGGGAGCAAACAGG
rnacentral:rRNA from 1 species